rnacentral:rRNA from 1 species
GAUGAACGCUGGCGGCGUGCCUAAUACAUGCAAGUCGAGCGAACGGACGAGAAGCUUUCUUCUCUGAUGUUAGCGGCGGACGGGGUAGUCACACGUGGAUAACCUACCUAUACGACUGGGAUAACUUCGGGAAACCGGAGCUAAUACCGGAUAAUAUUUUGAACCGCAUGGUUCAAAGGUGAAAGACGGUCUUGCUGUCACUUAUAGAUGGAUCCGCGCUGCAUUAGCUAGUUGGUAAGGUAACGGCUUACCAAGGCAACGAUGCAUAGCCGACCUGAGAGGGGGAGCGGCCACACUGGAACUGAGACACGGUCCAGACUCCUGCGGGAGGCAGCAGUAGGGAAUCUUCCGCAAUGGGCGGAAGCCUGACGGAGCAACGCCGCGUGAGUGAUGAAGGUCUUCGGAUCGUAAAACUCUGUUAUUAGGGAAGAACAUAUGUGUAAGUGACUGUGCACAUCUUGACGGUACCUAAUCAGAAAGCCACGGCUAACUACGUG